rnacentral:rRNA from 1 species
AUUGAACGCUGGCGGCAGGCCUAACACAUGCAAGUCGAGCGGAGCGGCGGACGGGUGAGUAAUACCUAGGAAUCUGCCUGGUAGUUGGGGAUAAAGUUCGGAAACGGACGCUAAUCCCGCAUACUAUCAAAUGAGCCUAGGUCGGAUUAGCUAGUUGGUGAGUGAAUGGCUCACCAAGGAUACGAUCCGUAACUGGUCUGUGAGGAUGAGCAGUCACACUGGAACGGAGACACGGUCCAGACUCCUACGGGAGGCAGCAGUGGGGAAGAUUGGACAAUGGGCGCAAGCCUGAUCCAGCCAUGCCGCGUGUGUGAAGAAGGCCUUCGGAUUGUAAAGCACUUUAAGUUGGGAGGCGUUACCGACAGAAUAAGCACCGGCUAACUCCGUGCCAGCAGCCGCGGUAAUAC